CAGUUAAAAAGCUCGUAGUUGGAUUUUGGUUAAGAGGGCGCGGUCGGCCGUUUGGUCUGUACUGCGUUGUCUUGACUUCCUGAUGAGGACAUGCUCUUGGUUAACGCUGAGACAUGGAGUCAUCGUGGUUACUUUGAAAAAAUUAGAGUGUUCAAAGCGGGCUUACGCUUGAAUAUAUUAGCAUGGAAUAACACUAUAGGACUCCUGUCCUAUCUCGUUGGUCUCGGGAUGGGAGUAAUGAUUAAGAGGAACAGUUGGGGGCAUUCGUAUUUCAUUGUCAGAGGUGAAAUUCUUGGAUUUAUGAAAGACGAACUUCUGCGAAAGCAUUUGCCAAGGAUGUUUUCAUUAAUCAAGAACGAAAGUUGGGGGCUCGAAGAUGAUUAGAUACCAUCCUAGUCUCAACCAUAAACGAUGCCGACUAGGGAUUGGUGGAUGUUAAUUGAUGACUUCACCAGCACCUUAUGAGAAAUCAAAGUUUUUGGGUUCCGGGGGGAGUAUGGUCGCAAGGCUGAAACUUAAAGGAAUUGACGGAAGGGCACCACCAGGCGUGGAGCCUGCGGCUUAAUUUGACUCAACACGGGGAAACCUACCAGGUCCAGACA
rnacentral:rRNA from 1 species